GAUGAACGCUGGCGGCGUGCCUAAUACAUGCAAGUCGAGCGAACAGACGAGGAGCUUGCUCCUCUGACGUUAGCGGCGGACGGGUGAGUCACACGUGGAUAACCUACCUAUAAGUCUGGGAUAACUUCGGGAAACCGGCGCUAAUACCGGAUAAUAUCUUGAACCGCAUGGUUCAAUAGUGAAAGACGGUUUUGCUGUCACUUAUAGCUGGAUCCGCGCCGCAUUAGGUAGUUGGUAAGGUAACGGCUUAUCAAGGCAACGAUGCGUAACCGACCUGAGAGGGUGAUCGGCCACACUGGAACUGAGACACGGUCCAGACUCCUACGGGAGGCAGCAGUAGGGAAUCUUCCGCAAUGGGCGAAAGCCUUACGGAGCAACGCCGCGUGAGUGAUGAAGGUCUUCGGAUCGUAAAACUCUGUUAUUAGGGAAGAACAAAUGUGGAAGUAACUAUGCACGUCUUGACGGUACCUAAUCAGAAAGCCACGGCUAACUACGUG
rnacentral:rRNA from 1 species